rnacentral:rRNA from 1 species
UACAGAGGUCCCAAGCGUUGUUCGGAUUCACUGGGCGUAAAGGGUGCGUAGGCGGGUCUUUAAGUCAGGGGUGAAAUCCUGGAGCUCAACUCCAGAACUGCCUUUGAUACUGAGGAUCUUGAGUUCGGGAGAGGUGAGUGGAACUGCGAGUGUAGAGGUGAAAUUCGUAGAUAUUCGCAAGAACACCAGUGGCGAAGGCGGCGAUCUGGGUCGAUACUGACGCUGAGGUGCGAAAGCGUGGGGAGCAAACAGG